GGUGUGUGUGGAAGAGGAUGGAGAAGCGAGAGAGAGGAGGGGGGAGCAUAGCAUUUUGUAAUUUCGUAAGGGAUGGACAAAGGAGAGAGGUGGGGUUAGGGGAGGAUCACCUCUUAAAACUCAGGGGAAGGUCAUUGUAAUUUUUCAAACGUUAAGGAUACUUUGUGUAUUAAAAGCAAAUCUCAGGGAGGUCAAUGUAAUUUCUCCUAUUUUGAAAAUAAGGGAGCUCAAUAUAAUUUAAAAAAUUUAUAUUUGUCAAAAAUAUUAGGUGAAGUCAGUAAAAUUUAUCUUUUCUUAUAUAUUAAUGCUAUUGAACAAGAAGUUCUUCUUUCAAUUUUUUUAUUUAGACUUAAACCUUAAUCGAAAAAUCACAUCAUAUAUAUUUAUGUUUUCUAUUCAUGAGAAUAUGACCCAAUUUUAGACAACAUUAAUUUUUUUGAAUUAAUUUUAUUUUUAAUAAAACUUUCCAUAUUAUAGUCAAAUUAAAAAUCUCUUUUAUUCCAAAUUAGGAUAUUGCAUAGGGAUCUUUGGCUCAAAAAAAAAAACAAACAGAAAUAAUGAAAAAAUAAUAAAUUAUAAUAAAAAAAUGUGUAAAAGAAGAGAGAGAGAGAGAGAGAGAGGCGAAUGGUGAGAGGAAAAAAAAUGGGAGAACUUAUUAAUUAGUAGGCAUAUAUAUGUCAUUAAUUUAUUAGACCACAUAAAUAAUUCUACCAACUUCAGCUCUAAGGACUUGAUUUUAACGCGGAAGCAUGAAAAAGAAAAGAGUAAAAAAACAUAAUUUUAGGAAUUUUAUAUUUUAGUUUUUUUAUUUUUAAUAUAGUAUCUUAUUAUGAAUAUUAAGAUUUAAUAUAUAUUAUCUAAAAUAUUUAGUUUUCUUAUUUGUUUUUUUUUUAAUUUUUUUAUUGGUCGUAGUGCUCAGGGCAAGAGAGUUUAUUAAUUAAUAAAAUUGAGUGAUUAGAUAGAUUUAUCUUUUGUUCCAAUUUUGAAAUAUUCUGUGUGAAUCCACCAAUUGUUAAUUCUUUUAUUCCUCUAUUAGAUUUAGAGUGGAUUUUAUUUCCGACAUUCAUAGAAUCAACAGGCUUAUAGUUUGUUUAACUUCCAUAUUAGAACUAAUAUAAAAAUAAAUUAUCAAAUCAAAUGGAAAAUAUUUUAUUUAAUAAUAUCUUAAUGUGAUUUGUCCAAUUGGAAAGUAUCUCAAUAUAUAUCAAACCAUAGUUAUUGAUGUUUUUAUAAUUUAAAAAAAUAUCAAAAAAUACUAUUAAUAUCUUAUUAAAAUUAAUUAUAUUAAACAUAAUAUUAAUGAUUAUUCAAUAUAUGCACAAAAAUAAUUUCUUUUAUCAGUGUCGUUUAAGACAAUGAUCUCAUUAUUAUAAUUUUUUAAAUUUGCCCAGGGUGGGAUUUUGCUUAGUUGUAAGGGGUCGUUGGGCUACCGAUAUUUGGAAGGGAAUGAAUUUUUCCCUCGGAUAAUUUUUUUCCCGGGUUGGGCGGGCAGAUAUGGAGGCGGAUAAAUAAAUUUGGGUGCCUAGACCCUAACUAAAGUUAUCCGGGUGGAUAAGGGAGUGGGAGGAGAUAAGAAAAAAAAUAUAUAAAGAGAAACAAAAUGUAUAAUUUAUUUUUAUUAUAUAUAGAGAGAAAUAAAAAAAUAUAUUUUUAAUCUCAUAUUUUAUAUUUUGUUCUAUAUAGAUAUUUUCUUCCUUAUCUUCCCCUGAGUCUCCAUUCUAAAAAAAGUAUCAAAAUAAAAAUUUAAAGUAUCCCCUCCCACAUCCUCCAGCCAAACGAGCCCCAAGUGUAGCCAAUGCCCAAAUCCAACUGGUCUCUCUUUUGGCGCAGUCAUUGCUUGGCAUGCCUAUUGGAUGAAAAGUUGAAAACCUACGCCUUGCGAAGGCAAGUCAAAUGGACAAAAAGUCAACUUCAAUUCUCAAUUGUCAUGUUUUCCUUUUCUUUCUUUCUUUUUCUUUUUUGAAUUUUUCUACAUAGGUUGUUUUUCUUGGGUGUGUAGAAGUCUUACCAUAAUUAAUUGCGUCUCAAUUGUCGUUUGAGCUAUCUCAAGUAAAUGGGAGGUGGCUCAAAAUUAAUUUAGUUUAAAUCUAUUUGCUUUUGAGCUGACUCUAGUUAGAUUGAGUUGCCUUAAUCCUACAAUUUACAUUAGAAGAUUAAUAAACAUUUAAUUCUCAAUAUUUAUAUUUGUUAUCAUCAAAGUUAUUAUUGUAAAACUUUGGUGCCAACAAAAAUAAAAGAAGUUUAACAAGAGAAUUAUUUUUUGCUCACAAGUUCUUAUUAUCUCUCACCUAUUUUGCAAUCCAAGUUCUUUUUAUUUUAUAAUUUCUCACAAAAAAAUCUCAAAUUAAUCGGUAGAACUUCUUUUAUUUAUAGGACUUAAUGUGGCAUAAAAUCUUACUUCUUUUAUUUAUAGGACUUAAUGUGGCAUAAAAUCUUACUUCUUUUAUUUAUAGGACUUAAUGUGGCAUAAAAUCUUAAUUUCACAAUGUUAGACGAAUCCCACAUAUAAGCCAGUCAAGCAUAACAUAUCUCAUAUAAAUGUUAUUCCACCAAUUAAUUAAUUUUAGGUUGCAUGCAUUUACAUGAUUCUCCAUUUGUGGAGCCAUCACUUACCAAAUAUAAAAAUAUGUAUAAUAAUUAGCAAGAGUAAGACCAAGUUAGUAGGUGUUUGCAAUUAUUUUUUAGAGCAAUCGACCAGCUUUUAGCUAAAAAAAGGCACUUUUUGGAGUGUUUGAGAUUGUUUUAUUUAAGAAUAAAAUAGCUGUUUUUUUUUUUUCUUUUUUGGGAGAACCAUGCCAAUAUUUUCACAAGCUUUGGCAAAAUCACAAGAAUAUGAAUAUUUUCAACUUCCAUUGCCUUAGUACUUAGCAAUAUCCUACUUUAGCAGAUCCAAUCACGGUACCACCUCUCCAGCACCCAAUCUCCACUAAUUUUAAUCCAGGUAAGCAGAUUGUCGCGGGUAAGUCCAUUGAAUAAUGAAAUAUCAAGCAAAAUAAGAUUCGUAUCAAAAACAAGUCCAAUAAAUGUACAAAUUAUUAACCACCUUGAUUGUCACAACUUUUUGCAGUAGCAAACAACAUCCAGCAGCUUGAAACUUAACUGGAAGGAUAAAGAAAGAAGUUUCAAACACAUUUUUUUAUGACUAUAUCUGCACCAGUAUUAACAUAGCAACAACUAUACAACAAUUACUUAAUUAGAGACUCACUGACUUUCAUUAUCCGACGAGGAAGAUUUUUGCCCAUUUUCGAAUCCAGAUUUAUAUUCAAAUGUAACAUGCUAGUUCCCGUUGGAAACUAAUGACUCCUGAUUUACAGCAUACAAUACAAGCGGAGAAAAUUUCCAAAAAAUAACUCUAAAGUGAGCUUACAAAAAGCACAAACAACAUCUCUCUCUCACACACACACACACGCACACAUUGGGAUUGGAGAAUGGAAAAUUGCAGUCAUAAG
rnacentral:lncRNA from 1 species